AUAGGGGACAGGUGGGCAAAAACAAUUAUUAAAAAUAGGAGGAAUCCAGUGUAGCUGCUACUAUUUUUAAUAAUUGCUUUUGCCCACCUGUCCCCUAUUGCGAUUU